rnacentral:rRNA from 1 species
AUUGAACGCUGGCGGCAUGCUUUACACAUGCAAGUCGAACGGCAGCGCGGGGCAACCUGGCGGCGAGUGGCGAACGGGUGAGUAAUACAUCGGAACGUACCCAGAAGUGGGGGAUAACGUAGCGAAAGUUACGCUAAUACCGGAUACGUUCUACGGAAGAAAGUGGGGGACCUUCGGGCCUCAUGCUUUUGGAGCGGCCGAUGUCUGAUUAGCUAGUUGGUGGGGUAAAGGCUCACCAAGGCGACGAUCAGUAGCUGGUCUGAGAGGACGACCAGCCACACUGGGACUGAGACACGGCCCAGACUCCUACGGGAGGCAGCAGUGGGGAAUUUUGGACAAUGGGCGCAAGCCUGAUCCAGCAAUGCCGCGUGAGUGAAGAAGGCCUUCGGGUUGUAAAGCUCUUUUGUCAGGGAAGAAACGGCUGAGGUUAAUACCUUCGGCUAAUGACGGUACCUGAAGAAUAAGCACCGGCUAACUACGUGCCAGCCGCCGCAGUAACAC